AAAACUAGUUAGGACCAACCACCCUCCAACGAGGUGUGUGCCAGUGGUCUUUUGACGUCAGAAAGCCUAAAACUCCACCCUCUGAACAAGUGAACACACCAUUUUCUAAUCCCUUGUCUGAUGAGGAAGCUUGUAGCGGUUACGCCUGCGCAGAACAAUAAUUACUGCACCUUUGUUUUAUUUCCCCUUAUGUUUACCUAUGCUCCCCACGCCUCAGGCCAAGCUCCUUCUUUGUCCCAUAAAUACCUCCAAUCCUCACCUUUGAGAAAGUUGAUUUGAGACAUGUUCAUAGCUCGUAUUUCCUCGCUUGGCUGCCUGGAGAAAAAACCCUUCGCUGCAAACUUCAGCAUCUUAGCGUAGGGCUUGCUGCACAUCAGAUCAGAUCUUCAGAGGAGCAGAAUGUGGGCCUGCCUAUGUGUUCUGUCCUGUGGGAAAACUCCAGAGCCAGCCCAGGACAGAACACAGCCUGUAUUUCCACUGACAAGUGUGCUCCCUUCAGGCUAUUCCAAGUAUGGAGUGAAGACACCUGGCAACCCUCUUCUGCUAUCUUCAGUUAACCAAAGUGUUCUCAGCAGGAGCAAGGCUGCUUUACCUUUACUGCCAAGUGGCAAAUAAGGAACCCUCCACUGAAAAUUCAGAAAGUGCAGGCCAAUUGUGAGGUGUGGUUAAAGCCAAUGGAUCAAUUCCCAGCAGUUGCUGGACAUUAGGAUUAUUUCCACUUUCUGCCAUCAUGACUAAAGCUGCAGUGAACCUCUGAGAAGUCUUUGGACAGAUGUUUUCAUAUCUCUUGGGAAAAUAUCUAGCAAGCUUGCCGAGAUAUAUGGGAGAAAUUCCCACAUAGUCCCCUGAUUUCAGGAAAGAAAUUCUCCACAGGAACAUGUAAUCUGUUGAAGCAGAGAAAUCAGGAACAGCACCAAGCAAAAAAAGGUUUUCUCCUUUUGGUAUCUUGAAGAUGUUUCCAACCCUGUUGUGGAGAGAGCUGACUCAUUCUUAUUUUCCUAAAGCCUCACAAUGCCUAAGGGCUGUCAACACCUCAAGGCAAGAAUGUUCCCACAUGGUGUCCCACAGUUGGAAAUGCUACUCAACAAGAUAGGAUCAACAGAGUCAAAAGAAAAUGAUCAGAGGUAUGAAGUCGCCAUUCAAUAUGAAGAGCACACUCUGACCAAGUUCAUAGUUGAAAGGUGAUUUCAGUGGGUGUGAUAGCAUUUAAUGCUCUCAGAAUCAGUCAUUUUUGGAAAUAUUGCUGUUUAAGUAGAUGAAUCUUCCUGCAUUUGUUAUUGAAAACAAGUCUCCUUAAAGCCAGUUCCUUUACCAAGUUUAUGAUUAAUCUCUUUACCCCAAAUUUUAUUCCCUUUUUUGUCCCCUCUGACCCCAGUUCUGUGCUCACUGAAUGCUAAUCAACCAGAGUCAGAUGACAAAAAUUGCUGUUGUCGAUAAUAUCAUUAAUAUACUAAAAUUACUAUAUUCUAGAAUAUCAUCACUCAUGUACAAAUGCAGGUUGUUUCUCCAGGGCUGGAUGAGCUAACAGACAUCUGAGCUACAGACGGCCUGGCCAGAGAAUCAUAAACCAGACAUUCUGACUCCCCAAACUACAAUUAAAAAUGUCACAAGACAGUGACUGAUCCCAGCAUCUUUGUUCUCCCCUUUUAAAAAACCCUUAACUUGGCGACCAGGUUGGAGUGGGUCUGAGGCUUAUCUCCACUCCCUUGCUUGGCACCCUGCAAUAAACACUAUACUUUCCUUCACCACAACUCAAUGUUAGUAGAUUGGCUUUGUUGCGAGUUGGGUGGCUCUUCUUUUUCCAAGAUUUAUCCUUGCAUGUUGUGCUGGCUUAUGCCCCAGGGCUUUGCUCUGCUGAGGGUCUCCUCUGGGUGCUGUACCUUCUGUGGCCCUCUUUUCUGCUGCUUUCAUAUGCUCUCUUCCCUCUCCCUUGACAAUUUUGUGUUUUAUUAUGGCUUUUAUCUACCAUCUUCCCAAACAGCUCUACGAACUAUAUCCUUAGCACUGUUCAUUCUCAUUUAGAUUCAAACUUCUAUCUCCCUGCUGGACAUCUUCACUGGACUUGAAAUUUCCUAUGCUCGACAGUAAAGCAACCUACAUACAGACCCGGACUUGAGUCCUAACUCUACAACUUCAAGCCCAUCACUGAAAUUUUCUCAGCCUCAAAUUCUUAAAUGAGGAAAAUAAAAAUAUCUACCUUACACAAUUACUCUGGAUAUUACUAUUUCACUCCUGUUAUUUGCUUCUGCCUCCACUCUUCCCUAUUUCUGAAACAUCAUCACUAUCCUCCUAGAUAUUUGAGCAUGUAAGCCUACAACUACCCUCAUGUCUCUCAUUUCUUUUUCCUCUAAGUUUCUCUCAUUAAACCUUUUCUCUAUUCAUAGACCCACCAUUGCCUCUUUACUGGACUAUUGGAAAUGUUUCCUUAUUUAUUUCCUUGCUUCUUGUCUCUAUGGCAAAGCCCCUUGUAUGGGUUAAUUCUAUUAAUGCAUGGCUGUGUUUACAUCACUCUGUGUAUUAUUUAUUGCUAUGCAGCAAAUUACCCCAAAUGUGGCAGCUUAAAUAUUUAUUAUCCCACUCAGUUUCUGUGGGUCAGGAAUCUGGGAAGAGAUGAGCUAGGGUCAGCAGGACUGCAGUUAUCUUAGGCUUGAUGGUACUGGAAGGUCUGCUUCCAAGGUGGCUCCCUCAAGUACCAGACAGGUUAGUGCUGAUUAUUGAUAAGAGGCCUCUUCUCCUUUCCUCAUCAUAUCAGCCUUUCCAUUGUGUUUGAGUAUCCUCAUGACAUAGAGCUAGCUUUCCCCAGGGUGAGUGAUCCACAAGAGUACAAAAGAAUUUUUUUUUUUUUGGUCUUUUUGCCUUUUCUAGGGCUGCUCCUGCACAAUAUGGAGGUUC